rnacentral:lncRNA from 1 species
GAGGCCUAAUUAGUUUCAUAAUUAGGCUAGGACCUAAUUAGUUAAUUUGUUAUAACUAAUUCCUAUGUUAGAUAAAAUUGGGUCCAAGAAUUAGUUAGAGUUUGAUCAAGAUUCAAAAGCCCUAUUUGGAAUAGGACUAAACCAACUAAAUCCCAUCUAUUUAAGUGAUCCUCCAUGCCUCUACUCCCCUUCACCAUGAGUAUUCAUGCCCCACAC